GUGUAAGUACAAUGUUUUAAACAUGAAACCGCGGAAAGCUCAUUAUAACAGCUAUAGACUACACGGUAAAUAUUUUAGUUGGAUAACUGAGGUAAUUCUUGAGCUAAUACACGCUAUUUAUACCACAUUAGUGGUGCGUUUAUUUGAUUAAACCAUUUUAACGGUUGACUCAAAAUAUCCUUGCUGAUUUUGUUACUAAAACAUACCGUAUGUGUAUCUGGUUUAUCAACUUUCGAUGGUAGGGUAUUGGCCUACCAUGGUUGUGACGGAUAACGGAGAAUUAGGGUUCGACUCCGGAGAGGGAGCCUGAGAAACGGCUACCACAUCCAAGGAAGGCAGCAGGCGCGAAAAUUACCCAAUUUUAGUUCAAAGAGGUAGUGACGAAAAAUGACAACCAAAUAUUAUUAUUAAUAUUUGGAUUGAAAAUCUUCAAGUUUAAAUAACUUGUUGGUAAAGGAAAGGGCAAGUCUGGUGCCAGCAGCCGCGGUAAUACCAGCUUUCCAAGUGCAUAAAAUGAUUGUUGUGGUUAAAAAGCUCGUAGUUGGAUUAUAAAGAUUGUAUAAUGAGCAUCUUGGAUGUUUUAAUUUCAUUAUCAUCUUAUUAUUUUUAUUAUUUAUCGUUAAAAAUAAAUAAUAAACUGUUACUUUGAAUAAAUCAGAGGGUUUAAACCAGGCAUUUAUAUGCUUGUAUGGUCUAGCAUGGAAUAACACUAUAGAAAAAGUUAGUGUGGUUUCACUAAUCUUUUUCAUGAUUAAUAGGAACAAACGGGGGCAUUCGUAUCGCUACGUUAGAGGUGAAAUUCUUGGACCGUAGCGAGACGUCCUACUGCGAAAGCAUUUGCCAAGAAUGUUUUCAUUAAUCAAGAACGAAAGUUAGAGGUUCGAAGGCGAUCAGAUAC
rnacentral:rRNA from 1 species